GGGGACGUGGCGGAAUGGCAGACGCGCUUGGUUGAGGGCCAAGUGAGCUUAAGCUCAUAAGAGUUCGACUCUCUUCGUCCCCACCA
rnacentral:tRNA from 1 species